rnacentral:rRNA from 1 species
UCCGUAGGUGAACCUGCGGAGGGAUCAUUACUGAGUUUACGCUCUAUAACCCUUUGUGAACAUACCUAUAACUGUUGCUUCGGCGGGUAGGGUCUCCGUGACCCUCCCGGCCUCCCGCCCCCGGGCGGGUCGGCGCCCGCCGGAGGAUAACCAAACUCUGAUUUAACGACGUUUCUUCUGAGUGGUACAAGCAAAUAAUCAAAACUUUUAACAACGGAUCUCUUGGUUCUGGCAUCGAUGAAGAACGCAGCGAAAUGCGAUAAGUAAUGUGAAUUGCAGAAUUCAGUGAAUCAUCGAAUCUUUGAACGCACAUUGCGCCCGCCAGCAUUCUGGCGGGCAUGCCUGUUCGAGCGUCAUUUCAACCCUCAAGCUCUGCUUGGUGUUGGGGCCCUACAGCUGAUGUAGGCCCUCAAAGGUAGUGGCGGACCCUCCCGGAGCCUCCUUCGCGUAGUAACUUUACGUCUCGCACUGGGAUCCGGAGGGACUCUUGCCGUAAAACCCCCAAUUUUCCAAAGGUUGACCUCGGAUCAGGUAGGAAUACCCGCUGAACUUAAGCAUAUCAAUAAGCGGAGGA